CACACCAAAGCCCUUCAGCACUGAGAUGUCAGAUUUUAAAUGAUGUCAGAUGUAUUUCCCCACUGGAAUUCAUCAGCUGGCAUUGCUCAUCACCUAAAGUUGAAAUAGCAGUGCAGAAAUGUUCCUUGCAGCUGACAAACACAGGGCUGUGCUUCCUGUGGCAAGAGAUGCUUGAAGGAAACACAAGCACAAGUGUCACCACUCAGAUAACUUUUAAGAGCAAUUAUUUCAGCCAGUGUUUAAAUUUCUGUAAGAUAUACUGAAAUGAGAAAGAUAAUUUCCAACCAAAGCAAAAAUUUGCACUUUUUUAUGCCUUCAGUGCCAACUAAACAUUGCAGAUUUCUCCUAGAUUAACUGGAUAUUUGGUAGGAAAUAUUUUUCUGUAUAUUUUAGGAGGGUUUUUUUAAUGUUCUGAAGUUGUUCUAGAGGGAAAGGCAAGGAUAAUAAAAGCCUUAAGAGAUCGUUCAGGCCUGGUGCCUCCAGCAGGCCCGAACACGCUGGGCCUAUUCAUGCACUUGAAUUUAAAUUCUUCAGCAGCUUCCUGGACAAGCAAGAUCUUGAAUUCUGUGUUCAAAUAAUGUGAAUUCCCUUCUCCAGUGGUUUUUUGGGACAGAUGUGCUUCUGCCUGAGCUCUCUAUGGGUUUUUUCCCUCACCCACCCAGCCUGGGCUGCUGCUGCUGGAAUGAAUUUCCUGGUGCCGAUGGCGUGAAGUGCUGCUUAAAAUGGAAUUUAAUGCUGAAGUAUCUGAAAUAGAUUUGCAGUGUGUGCAAAAAACUGAUUUUAUGGAAGAGGAGCUGGAGUCAAGUGAGGAUUUCUUGGUGGUUACGUGAGGGAUUACAAAGCUGCACCACGUGUGUUCCUCCUAAAUCUCCUUUAUCCGUCUGCCCCUAAUCUGAUUUUAAGUCUGGACUAGUAGGAAAGCUUUGUGGAAAAUCAGAGGGAGGAGGUUGUUCCUGAAAAACUGGCCUAAAGUUUAGCUCACAGUAGGAACCUACUGCAAGAUUUGGUUCAGCAUCACAAGAAACCUGGAGCAUUCUUUUUGUCACAGAGUGGUUUGGAUUGGAAGGAGUGUUGAAGAUCAUCUCAUUCCACCCCCCUGCCAUGGACAGGAACACCUCCCACGACACCAGCAACUGGGUCUUUCCUCUUCCAUUUCUGAAGCUCCUCCUGCAUCUUGUCAAUCUUGGCUGGAUUCAGAGCCCACAAACAUCCCUUUCGAGAAGAAUUCCCUGACUUGUUCUCAACUUUCUCAAAGCACUUAUUCAAAGAUAAGUUGUGGCGCACGGAAUUCUUCCAACCAUCUGGAGCUGUCUGGAGAAACAAACCCAAUGUAAGAACAGAACUUCAAGCUAAAAAAGAAAAUAGAAUUAAAAAUGUACGUAUAUAUAAAUAUAACUUUGUUUUGACUGGUGAGGUUA